UACGUAGGAUGCAAGCGUUGUCCGGAAUUAUUGGGCGUAAAGAGCGCGCAGGCGGUAUGACAAGUCAGAUGUGAAAGAGGCCGGCUUAACCGGCAAGGGUCAUUUGAAACUGUCAGACUAGAGUGCAGCAGAGGAUAGUGGAAUUCCCCGGUGUAGUGGUGAAAUGCGUAGAUAUCGGGAGGAACACCAGUGGCGAAGGCGACUAUCUGGGCUGCAACUGACGCUGAGGCGCGAAGGCUAGGGUAGCAAACAGG
rnacentral:rRNA from 1 species